GACAGAGGGUGCAAACGUUGCUCGGAAUUACUGGGCGUAAAGCGCGUGUAGGCGGACCGGCAAGUCAGAUGUGAAAGCCCUGGGCUCAACCCAGGAACUGCAUUUGAAACUACCGGCCUUGAGUGGUGGAGAGGGAAGCGGAAUUCCUGGUGUAGAGGUGAAAUUCGUAGAUAUCAGGAGGAACACCGGUGGCGAAGGCGGCUUCCUGGACACUAACUGACGCUGAGACGCGAAAGCGUGGGGAGCAAACAGG
rnacentral:rRNA from 1 species